CUCGACCUCAGAUCAGACAAGGCUACCCGCUGAAUUUAAGCAUAUUAAUAAGCGGAGGAAAAGAAACUAACAAGGAUUCCCCCAGUAACGGCGAGUGAAGCGGGAUCAGCUCAAAUUUAAAAUCUCCGUUGCUUGCAACGGCGAAUUGUAGUUUCGAGAAGCGCUUUCUAGGUGGGCCGGCUGCGCCUAAGUUGCUUGGAACAGCACGUCAUAGAGGGUGACAACCCCGUCUGUGGCGUAGGCGGCCGCUGACGAUGUGCUUUCGAAGAGUCGGGUUGUUUGGGAAUGCAGCCCAAAAUGGGUGGUAAACUCCAUCUAAAGCUAAAUAUUGGCACGAGACCGAUAGCGAACAAGUACCGUGAGGGAAAGAUGAAAAGGACUUUGGAAAGAGAGUUAAAAAGUACGUGAAACCGUUAAAAGGGAAACGAAUGGAGCUAGCAAUGCACCCUGUGAGAUUCAGCCGGUCGGUGGUCCGGGCGUGUGGUUUGCAGAUCUGAAUCGACUGUGGCCACACGCUUCUGGCUUCCUGCCGUCGCACUUCCCGCGGGUGCGCGUCAACAUGGGUUGGGACCGGGUCUGAAAGGCACCGGCAAGGUAGGUCCGCACCUUCGGGUUCGUACUGUUCUAGGCCGGCGUUUUCGCGGCCCGUGCCUGACCGAGGAGUUUGCAGCACAUGCCUCGUUUGGCUGGAGUCCCGUCCUGCCGGUUGGCUGUCGACUGUGGUGGACUGCGUGCAGUGCACCGCGACUGCAGCCGGUCGCUGGGGCGGUGACUUCGCACGAUGUGCUUAGGAUGUUGGCGGUCAUAUGGCUUCAUCCGACCCGUCUUGAAACACGGACCAAGGAGUCUACCAUAUGCGCAAGUCUUUGGGUGAUUGAAACCCGCGGGCGCAAUGAAAGUGAAGGCGGCUUCGGCCUGCCGAGGUGAGAACCUCCCCUUAUCGGGGUGGCACAUCAUCGACCGACCUGUUCUACUCUUAGGAAGGUUUGAGUAAGAGCGCAUUUGUUGGGACCCGAAAGAUGGUGAACUAUGCCUGAAUAGGGUGAAGCCAGAGGAAACUCUGGUGGAGGCUCGUAGCGAUUCUGACGUGCAAAUCGAUCGUCAAAUUUGGGUAUAGGGGCGAAAGACUAAUCGAACUGUCUAGUAGCUGGUUCCCUCCGAAGUUUCCCUCAGGAUAGCAGGAGCUCAUUGCAGUUUUAUCAGGUAAAGCGAAUGAUUAGAGGUCUUAGGGUUAAAACAACCUUAACCUAUUCUCAAACUUUAAAUUGGUAAGAAGUCCGACUUGCUCGAUUGAAGCCGGACGUGGAAUGCGAGUUCCUAGUGGGCCAUUUUUGGUAAGCAGAACUGGCGAUGCGGGAUGAACCGAACGCCGAGUUAAGGUGCCAAAGUCGACGCUCAUCAGACCCCACAAAAGGUGUUGGUUGCUAUAGAC
rnacentral:rRNA from 1 species